CCUACGGGGGGCAGCAGUGGGGGAUAUUGCACAAUGGGGGGAACCCUGAUGCAGCGACGCCGCGUGGGUGAAGAAGCGCCUCGGCGCGUAAAGCCCUGUCAGCAGGGAAGAAAAUGACGGUACCUGUUUAGAAAGCUCCGGCUAACUACGUGCCAGCAGCCGCGGUAAUACGUAGGGAGCAAGCGUUGUCCGGAAUUACUGGGCGUAAAGGGCGCGUAGGUGGGCGCUUAAGUCAGGUGUGAAAACUCCGGGCUCAACCUGGAGACUGCACUUGAAACUGGGUGUCUUGAGGGCAGGAGAGGAAAGUGGAAUUCCUAGUGUAGGGGUGAAAUGCGUAGAUAUUAGGAGGAACACCAGUGGCGAAGGCGACUUUCUGGACUGUACCUGACGCUGAGGCGCGAAAGCGUGGGUAGCGAACGGGAUUAGAUACCCUGGUAGUC
rnacentral:rRNA from 1 species